rnacentral:rRNA from 1 species
GACGUAGGGCGCGAGCGUGUCCGGAAUUAUUGGGCGUAAAGGGCUCGUAGGCGGUCUGUCGCGUCGGCUGUGAAAACUCGGGGCUCAACCCCGAGCCUGCAGUCGAUACGGGCAGACUAGAGUGCUGUAGGGGAGACUGGAAUUCCUGGUGUAGCGGUGAAAUGCGCAGAUAUCGAGGAGGAACACCGGUGGCGAAGGCGG